rnacentral:rRNA from 1 species
UAGAGUUUGAUCCUGGCUCAGAAUGAACGCUGGCGGCGUGCUUAACACAUGCAAGUCGAACGAGAAAGGGAUUGCUUGCAAUCCUGAGUAGAGUGGCGCACGGGUGAGUAACACGUAGAUAAUCUACCUUCAAUUUUGGGAUAACCAGGCGAAUGUUUGGCUAAUACCAGAUAAAGUACGAAUACAAGGGUAUUGAUAUGAAAGUAUGCCUCUGCCUGCAAGCAUAUGAUUGGAGAUGAGUCUGCGGACCAUUAGCUGGUUGGUAGGGUAAAGGCCGACCAAGGCAACGAUGGUUAGCUGGUCUGAGAGGAUGGUCAGUCACACUGGAACUGGAACACGGUCCAGACUCCUACGGGAGGCAGCAGUGAGGGAUUUUGCGCAAUGGGGUAACCCCUGACGCAGCAACGCCGCGUGAGUGAAGAAGGCCUUUGGGUCGUAAAGCUCUGUCAACUGGGAAGAAGUUGCAGUUAUCCAAUAGAUAUCUGUAUUGACGGUACCAGUGGAGGAAGCGUCGGCUAACUCCGUGCCAGCAGCCGCGGUAACACGGGGGACGCAAGCGUUAUUCGGAAUUAUUGGGCGUAAAGGGCGUGUAGGCGGUCUUAUCGGUCAGAUGUGAAAGCCCAGGGCUUAACCCUGGACGUGCAUUUGAAACAGUAAGACUUGAGUACUGGAGAGGAAAGCGGAAUUCCUGGUGUAGAGGUGAAAUUCGUAGAUAUCAGGAGGAACACCGAUGGCGAAGGCAGCUUUCUGGACAGAGACUGACGCUGAUGCGCGAAGGCGUGGGUAGCGAACAGGAUUAGAUACCCUGGUAGUCCACGCAGUAAACGAUGUACACUAGGUGUAGGAGAUAUUA